UUUACUACCAGUAGCAAUUUUCCUUGUGGAGGUGACACCUCUUCCUACACUUGUACUUGGGAGGUUUUUCCUUCCAGGCCUGAAGAGGCAGGCUGGGAGGGCUGAAACCUUGCUCGUCUCAGAAACAGGUUGUUAAGAGCAGUGUGGAGAUUACAGGGCUGUAAGGAGCUGUGCCAAAGCAACCACCAGCAGCUGUGGUUAAUGGGGGAUGUAGUGUCCAUGAGAGACCCUGAGCAAGUCCUGUGGCUGGGUGCUCAGUGCAGGAGGAGUUUUGGAGUGAUCUCAUCCCUGUCCUGGGACUGUCUGCAUCAGGAAUACAGGCAGCCUAGUUUUGCUCUUGCAUUUUUCCGCACUUUCCAAACAUCAAAAUGUAAAAAGGUCUUAUCAUUGAUGUUAGAGGGAGGUAAACUGAAAGACAGCUGAGAAUUUUACUUGAGGGAUCUGGAGGUCGGGCCAUAGGGGUUGGAUAUUAGCAUGCAUAUGACACCGCAGACUGGAACUGGAAAAUGCCAUGAGUGGCAGGGUGCUGCUGCUAUAGCUGGGAGCAAGACCCAUCAAGAUACCUUAAUGUUUUGGACUUUAGAUGAAGACUCUCAAAAAUUCCCAGGACUGUCUCCCACUGCUGCUGGAGACUGCUCAAUGGGACUACAUAUGUUUAGCUCUUGUGAAGAAGUCUCAGUCAGUUCCUGCAACCACAUUAUUGUUUUGAAGCUCUUGCCCAAAGUCCUUCAUGUUUGUUUACAUCUUUCUGAAGUUCAAAUGAAAACAUUGCUGGAUUGUCACUGGCCUUGCAAAGAAGUAAUUUUUGCCCUUUCUGAAUGCAGACUUCUAAAGACUAAUCUUGUUGAUUGUGUUGUUCUCUUGUUGUAGUGCCUCAUCUCACUGCAUGGGAUAAAUUAGCUCUUGCUGGAAUUAAAUUUAAAUGACACAUCUUUGCAACAAGGAUAAAACAGGACCAGCUCUGAAUUUCACACUUCCAUGUUACUGUGUUUUAACUAACACUUAUCAAAUUAUUUUCCUUCCAAACUUUGUGUAUAGCUAAUGUUUUCCCAGGUUUGUUUCCAUUUAACAUUGUUCUUAUUCCUAACCCU